rnacentral:rRNA from 1 species
AUUGAACGCUGGCGGCAUGCUCUACACAUGCAAGUCGAACGGUAACAGGCCGCAAGGUGCUGACGAGUGGCGAACGGGUGAGUAAUGCAUCGGAACGUGCCCAGUCGUGGGGGAUAACUACUCGAAAGAGUAGCUAAUACCGCAUACGAUCUAUGGAUGAAAGCGGGGGACCGUAAGGCCUCGCGCGAUUGGAGCGGCCGAUGUCAGAUUAGGUAGUUGGUGGGGUAAAGGCUCACCAAGCCAACGAUCUGUAGCUGGUCUGAGGGGACGACCAGCCACACUGGGACUGAGACACGGCCCAGACUCCUACGGGAGGCAGCAGUGGGGAAUUUUGGACAAUGGGCGCAAGCCUGAUCCAGCAAUGCCGCGUGCAGGAAGAAGGCCUUCGGGUUGUAAACUGCUUUUGUACGGAACGAAACGGCUCUGGUUAAUACCCGGGGCUAAUGACGGUACCGUAAGAAUAAGCACCGGCUAACUACGUG